rnacentral:rRNA from 1 species
GACGAACGCUGGCGGCGUGCUUAACACAUGCAAGUCGAGCGAUGAAGCACCUUCGGGUGUGAAUUAGCGGCGAACGGGUGAGGAACACGUGAAGAAUCUGCCUUCAACUCUGGGAUAACUCCGGGAAACCGGGGCUAAUACCGGAUAUGAGCCUUGAUCGCAUGAUCGGGGCUGGAAAGUUUUUCGGUUGAAGAUGACUUCGCGGCCUAUCAGCUUGUUGGUGAGGUAAUGGCUCACCAAGGCGACGACGGGUAGCCGGCCUGAGAGGGCGACCGGCCACACUGGGACUGAGACACGGCCCAGACUCCUACGGGAGGCAGCAGUGGGGAAUAUUGGGCAAUGGAGGAAACUCUGACCCAGCGACGCCGCGUGAGGGAUGAAGGCCUUCGGGUUGUAAACCUCUUUCAGUAGGGAAGAAGCGAAAGUGACGGUACCUACAGAAGAAGCACCGGCUAACUAUGUG